rnacentral:rRNA from 1 species
UUUCGCAAUGCCCGAAAGGGUGACGAAGCGACGCCGCGUGUGGGAAGAAGGCCUUCGGGUUGUAAACCACUGUCGGGAGUUAGGAAAUGCAGGUGCGUUAAUAGCGCACUUGCUUGACUAAGGCUCCAGAGGAAGCCACGGCUAACUCUGUGCCAGCAGCCGCGGUAAUACAGAGGCGGCAAGCGUUGUUCGAAAUUAUUGGGCGUAAAGAGCACGUAGGCGGCCUUGCAAGUCAGUUGUGAAAGCCUUCCGCUUAACGGAAGAACGGCAUCUGAUACUACAGGGCUUGAGUACGGGAGGGGAGAGUGGAACUUCUGGUGGAGCGGUGAAAUGCGUAGAUAUCAGAAGGAACGCCGGCGGCGAAAGCGACUCUCUGGUCCGAAACUGACGCUGAGUGUGCGAAAGCUAGGGGAGCAAACGGGAUUAGAUACCCCGGUAGUCCUAGCCGUAAACGAUGGGCACUAAGUAGAGGGGUUUU